rnacentral:rRNA from 1 species
AGAGCGCAAGGGGAAUGCCUUGGCAUCAGGAGCCGACGAAGGACGUGACAAGCUGCGAUAAGCCACGGGGAGGAGCAAAUAUCCGUUAUAUCCGUGGAUUUCCGAAUGGGGGAACCCGCUCAAGCAAUACUUGAGCAUCGUGCGUUGAAUCAAAUAGGCGUACGAAGGGAACGGCCUGAACUGAAACAUCUAAGUAGGGCCAGGAAAAGACAUCAACCGAGAUUCCGCUAGUAGUGGCGAGCGAACGCGGAGGAGGCCAAACCGAGGGACGCAAGUUCUUCGGGGUUGCGGACAGACAUCAUGACCAGAGGAAGUUAAGAGAACGGCGUGGGAAAGCCGGCCAUAGAAGGUGAGAGCCCUGUAUCUGAAAAUGAAGACUGGCAGUCUGGAUCCAGAGUACCGCGGGACACGUGAAACCCCGUGGGAAACCGGGUGGACCACCAUCCAAGCCUAAAUACUACCUGAUGACCGAUAGAGGAGCAGUACCGUGAGGGAAAGGUGAAAAGGACCCCGGGAGGGGAGUGAAAGAGAACCUGAAACCUUGUGCUUACAAGCAGUCAAAGCACGUUAACGUGUGAUGACGUACUUUUUGUAGAACGGUCCGGCGAGUUAUAGUAACGAGCAAGCUUAAGGUAUUGAGUACCGGAGGCGAAGCGAGAGCGAGUCUGAAUAGGGCGUAAAGUUCGUUGCCAUAGACCCGAAACCGGGUGACCUAUCCAUGAGCAGGCUGAAGUGAGAGUAAAAUCUCAUGGAGGGCCGAACCGACCCCCGUUGCAAUGGUGGCGGAUGACUUGUGGAUAGCGGAGAAAUUCCAAUCGAACUCGGAGAUAGCUGGUUCUCCCCGAAAUAGCUUUAGGGCUAGCGUUAUGUUAGAUUACCGGAGGUAAAGCACUGAAUGGUGGCGGGGCCGAUAAGGUUACCAAGACCUAUCAAACUCUGAAUGCCGGAUAAUUGAUGCAUAGCAGUCAGACAGCGUGAGAUAAGUUUCGUUGUCAAAAGGGAAACAGCCCAGACCCACAGCUAAGGUCCCAAAUUCAUGCUAAGUGGAAAACGAUGUGGAAUUGCGAAAACAACCAGGAUGUUGGCUUAGAAGCAGCCACUCAUUAAAAGAGUGCGUAAUAGCUCACUGGUCGAGUGACUCUGCGCGGAAAAUAUAACGGGGCUAAGCAUGAAACCGAAGCUUGGGCUUGUACUUAGGUACAGGGGUAGGGGAGCGUCGAGUAUGGGGUGAAGUCAGAGCGGAAGCACUGGUGGACUGUACUGGAGUGAGAAUGCCGGAAUGAGUAGCGAGAAUUAUGUGGGAAUCAUAAUGGCCGAAAAUCUAAGGUUUCUUGGGGAAGGUUCGUCCGCCCAAGGUAAGUCGGGAGCUAAGCUCAGGCCGAGAGGCGUAGGCGAUGCACAUACGGUAGAAAUUCCGUAACCACCGAAACUUAAACAGAGGGACACUUCGAAAUAGCGGAACCCGGGCGUUGGUUGACCCGGGCGAAAGGGAGCGAAAUUAGAGUAGCGAAGUCCGCGAUGUUCGGAGGCGAGAAAAGCUCUGAGGUAUGCUAAGGUGCCCGUACCGCAAACCGACACAGGUAGAUGAGGAGAGAAUCCUAAGGCCAACGGGAGAAGGGUUGUUAAGGAACUCGGCAAAUUGACCCCGUAACUUCGGAAGAAGGGGAGCCCCCUACGGGGGGUCGCAGAGAAAUGGCCCAAGCAACUGUUUACCAAAAACACAGGUCUAUGCUAAAUCGAAAGAUGACGUAUAUGGGCUGACGCCUGCCCGGUGCCGGAAGGUUAAGAGGAGAUGUCAGGCAACGAAGCAUUGAAUUUAAGCCCCGGUAAACGGCGGCCGUAACUAUAACGGUCCUAAGGUAGCGAAAUUCCUUGUCAGGUAAGUUCUGACCCGCACGAAUGGCGUAAUGAUUUGGGCACUGUCUCAACAGCCCGCCCGGCGAAAUUGUAGUACUGGUGAAGAUGCCAGUUACCCGCAACUAGACGGAAAGACCCCAUGGAGCUUUACUGCAGCUUAAUACUGAAAUUCGGUAGUACAUGUACAGGAUAGGUGGGAGACUGAGAAAUACAGGCGUCAGCUUGUAUGGAGUCGCUGUUGGGAUACCACUCUUGUACUGCUGGGUUUCUAACCUGCGGCCGUGAAUCCGGUCGGGGGACACUGUUAGGCGGGCAGUUUGACUGGGGCGGUCGCCUCCUAAAGAGUAACGGAGGCGCUCAAAGGU